AUGCAGAUCGGUUCAAAUUUCGUGACAUUCGUAAAAUACUUUAGUUCCUAAACCUAGUGCAACAUCAGUUAUUAACAUUUAUUUUAGAAAAUCCGACAUUUUCGAACUAACUCGUAAUGCAAUACGGACCAGAAUGAGUAACUGUUCACGUUCUGUUAGGAGAGAUGAGUUGCUCUGCCGGAUGUGACGUCACAUGCCCAGUAGCCAAUCCUAGGAAUCUUCUGCAAACCACAACCGCAAGUCUGGCCCUCUUUCCUCACUUCUUCAACGCUCGAAGUGCUGAAAGUGUUUAACUGUUCGUUAGUUUUCAGGCUAGCUGGGGAUGGCAGCAGCUAUCUCAGUAUCUCAGGAACUGCUGACCUGUUCCGUGUGUCUAGACAUUCUGAAGGAGCCCGUCUCUCUCCCAUGUGGACACAGCUUCUGUAUGGCAUGCAUUUUAUUCUGCUGGGAUCGAAAAGGAGUGAACAGCUGCCCACAGUGCAGAAAGACCUUCAACCCGAGGCCCGAUUUGUCUAAAAAUAUUAUGUUGGCUGAACUCGUGGAACUUUUAAUGAAAACGGGACUCGGUGCGGCUUUGUCUCAACGUUAUGCAGGUCCCGUGGGAGUUUUGUGUGACAUGUGUAUAGGAAAGAAGCUCACCGCCGUGCAAUUGUGUUUGACUUGCGAGUUGGCCUUCUGUGAGACUCACAUGUGGCUUCAUCCUAAGAUUAUGGAUUGGAAAUAUUACAAAAUGAAUACUCCUCCUAGAAGUCUACAGGAGAAAGUCUGCACCAAACACCAGAAGGCACUGGAAUAUUUUUGCAGAAAUGACAACACUUGGAUCUGCUUCUUGUGUGUUGCCACCAGUCACCGGAGCCAUGAGACUGUGGAACUAGGAACAGUAAGUGCUGAGAAAAAGCAGAGAGAAAUGUUUGACGCACCAUCUUUUGGAACGACUGAGACAUGGCAACCAGAUGGACCCACAAACCCAUACCUCAUUUGUUGUGGAUUAUUGGUCAGGAUGAAGGGGAUAUUAAAAGGAAUACAGCACAGAAUUCAGGAGAGAGAGAAAAAACAGGAAGAGAUGAAAGGAGCCUUGGAACGCAUCAAGGUUUUUGCAGACAAGAAUUUGCAAGAAUGUGACGAAGCCAUUUCUGUUCUAAUCUACACCUUGGUGGAAGGCUUGAAAACAUUUACAGAGAAGAUAGAAGUGAAAAAGGCAGAAGUGGAGCAGCUAAAGAAGAAGAUUGAAGAGCUGGAGAGGGCAGAAACUGAGCAUUCUGAGACUGAUGAUGAAAUCCAGUUCCUCUGGGUGAGACUCUUGCUUUGCACAGGAUAUAAAAAUUACACUUUGACUGGUUUACUUUCACAUUUUUAUGUGUUUUUUUCUAGAAAUACCCAUCUCCGGAUGUCCCACCUAGUAGCAAAAACUGCUUGACAUCAAAUCAGGAAGGCGUUCCAGCAGCCUGCUAUCGCAUCUAUCUAAGAUAAAAAAUAACCUGGAGAAGAUAGGACACUCAUCAGCAAGUGCCGUGUCAGAAGCCUUCAUGUAUUCAACAAAAUGGGCAGUGAGAUCUCUCCCAUGAUCAGCGUUCACCCACUAUUCUGUGACCUUAAACUGGAACCUAAAGAGGAUCAAGAACUUUCUUUUUUAGGAGAAGAUGGCAAUCGUAAGACAGUUGGAGAAAAUACAUUUAAUUUUCAGUCAUCUAGUGUAAAGGUCCAAACUGGUCUCGCAUCCACUUCUGUUUUCUGAGAAGUCAGCGACCCAAACUUCCAGCCUGUUGACAUUCAAAGCCACUGGGUCUUCAACAGUUGAGCAAAUCUUGGAUGCAACAAAACCAUCAUCCUGGUAUAAUUUUUAAAAGCACGUCAUAUGGUAAAAAAAUUUUUUUAAAAGGUAUUGGAUGACACGUCCUAAACAUUUCAUCAAAUUUUGAAUGGCUACAGUGUAUGAAAACAAUGUUUUGAUUUUUUUACAAAAUGUUUUUUUAUCUGUUGCUUCCUGAAUAUUUCAAAUAAAGUUCAGGAAUAUAGAGAGACAUAACACAGGAAAGCCAUAAAGAAUACUGCUGUGUUUUUCUCUUCUUUGUUUAAACCUAGUAAUGUUAAAAGUGACCAAAGAUUCAUUGUAUACAAGUUCAAAUGUUACUUAAUACUUUUUAACAAGAAGCAAAAAAAAAAAAAAAGAAGAAAA